GAAGGCUGAAGCUCAUAACUCAACAAGAGAAUCCACAGUGAUCUCUAAAAGGCCCCUUGCAGGGAUGGCAGACUUUGCAGCCCACGUAGAGACCAGGCUUCUCUUCCUGAGACUGAGACGUGUCCCGCCUGCAGUUGUCCCACUUCUCCCCACAGAGCAGUCUUCUGCCCAUGCUCUCAGCCUAGAGCAAGGCUCCCACAGGCAGCCUGAAAUACUCUGUCAGUACACGUGGUGAGCUCCACCCAGCUGCUCUUGAAACGUCUUAUUUUUGCUGUGAUGCAUCAGGGAGUCAACCAUGUCUUCGGGAGUGCCCUUGGAAAUUUUCAAGAGAA
rnacentral:lncRNA from 1 species